rnacentral:rRNA from 1 species
UACGUAGGGGGCAAGCGUUGUCCGGAUUUAUUGGGCGUAAAGAGCUCGUAGGCGGUUCGAUAAGUCGGGUGUGAAACCUCCAGGCUCAACCUGGAGACGCCACCCGAUACUGUCGUGACUAGAGUCCAGUAGGGGAGCGUGGAAUUCCAGGUGUAGCGGUGAAAUGCGUAGAUAUCUGGAGGAACACCGGUGGCGAAGGCGGCGUUCUGGACUGCAACUGACACUGAGAGACGAAAGCCAGGGGAGCAAACGGG